rnacentral:rRNA from 1 species
CCUACGGGUGGCAGCAGUGGGGAAUAUUGCACAAUGGGGGAAACCCUGAUGCAGCGACGCCGCGUGAGUGAAGAAGUAAUUCGUUACGUAAAGCUCUAUCAGCAGGGAAGAAAUACUGACCUUACGGUCAGCAGACGGUACAUGAGUAAGAAGCCCCGGCGAACUACGUGCCAGCAGCCGCGGUAAUACGUAGGGGGCAAGCGUUAUCCGGAUUUUCUGGGUGUAAAGGGAGCGUAGACGGGGCGCCAAGUCUGGAGUGAAAUGGCGCAGCUUAACUGCGGAACUGCUUUGGAAACUGGCGAACUAGAGUGCGGGAGGGGUAAGCGGAAUUCGUGGUGUAGCGGUGAAAUGCGUAGAUAUUAGGAAGAACACCGGUGGCGAAGGCGGCUUACUGGACCGUAACUGACGUUGAGGCUCGAAAGUGUGGGGAGCAAACAGGAUUAGAUACCCCAGUAGUC